UCUCAUCUCAUCUCAUCUCUUUUCCUUCUCUGCCGUUUCAAUCAUGGCACUCCCAUUUCGCAACAUCAUCCUUACCAGGACUCAAACCCACACAAAAACCUGCUUCUCCAAGUCCAUGGUAUCAUCUUUCUCUUAUUCAUACUCUUGCAUCUGGGAGCAACCUUCAAAGGCGGUGAUGGACGAGCUGCUACCGAAGAGGUUCCAUCCGGGAGCAACCUAACGCGUACUCUCUCUCUCCCACUCCCAAUCUCAGCGCAUUCUCUGGUUUAUGAAGUCCAUGAGAGGUUCGGGAGUAUUUCUUCCUUCAUCACGGCUUCAUUCCUUUUCUUCCUCCGGCUCCGGCACCGGCACCUUCCUUCAUUUGAAUCCCGUAUAUUUUGGAACUGCUUUCGCCGCUAAUGAAUGCAAUUCCGUAUAUUUCGCAGCAAGAUAGGUUGGGGAAGGAAGCCAAUAUAUGAAGCGUAUUCUCUUGCCUGCAAUAUCUCACACAUAUACCAGAGGAACCCACUCAUGGAGCUCUACUUUGUCCACUCUAUAAUGAAUAGAAGAAUGUUCUAUUCUGAAGAUGUUUAAAGUGAGAUAAAGCGGGUUCGCCACAGGUUCUGGAGAGACUGUAGAGGAAGAGCGAUGCACAGUUCGAGCUUCUCUCAAGUUUUUUCCAUAAUAUUCAUGGUGCAGCCUCGGAUUACAACAGCUACCAAGUUCACAUCCAAAAUUUACUCAUUCUAAGUGACAACGAAUAAGUUAAGGAAAAGAAUAAGAAGAACAGGUGCUACUUCUGCAUUGUCCUUUGCACACUUGAUAUUUUAUAUUUUUAGAACCGUGUUUAUUUUGAGUCGUUUAUGUUCCCAUUGAACUGUGGUUUUGUUUUUCUUUUCUUUGCUGUGUUUUUUAUGUGAGCAUUGAAGCCAAGUAAGGGAAGAAGGAUCUAAAUUUCAAGUUUAAAGAGAUUGCUUGAGCAGUCGAGCAUGAGGGUUUGAGUAUGGGGGGCGGCUUCGGUGGUGGCCAUGACUCAUUCGAUUUUUUCCUGACGUUCUUCGGAGCAAGUAUAUUUUCUGGUUAAGCAUGCUCACAGUAAGUCAGAAAUGCAAAAUGAAUCAUCCAAAAUUAAAAUCAAUAGUAUGCAGUGUUUGACACCUUCCCUCCUCUGACUCUGGUUUUCACUCCAAUUGUUUGACCAAAAUACAAACCAAGUGCAAUGGGUGUUGGGGAUGACUCUUCAGGUUAGAAAGCUGAAAGAAAUUGUGAGCGUUGAAGCCAAGUAAGGGAAGAAGGACCUAAAUUCUAAGGAUGCAUGUUUGAAACAAGUGAUGUUGGUCUUGCUAGAUAGUGGAGACCCCAAGUUAUAGGUGCUCGGGGCUACUUGCUGAUUUCCCUAUCGCUUCAACUCAGAUAUCUGAUUAUGAUAUUGCUUUGAGGAAAAGUAAUAGGAUUUUACUGUAAUUGCGGUUAAACUGGUCCAGGUUGAGGAAUGAGGAUAACCUACCAUCUAUGUAAAAGUUCUCUUGAUCCUGUUUCAGGCACAAAGAAACAAGUUGGUGUAGUCAUUCAAUUUCAUGCUUAGAGGAGCAACAAAUCUGUGUUCAUUUCCAAAUUUCUGAAGUCUGAAAACUUCUAAGUUCUAAUACCUCCAUGUAAAAUAAUCUGCAAAGAGUGUCUUAUAAUAAUAACUACUGUAGCAUAUUUUUUGUUACCAAUAGUCCAAUAUAUUAAUUCAUUUUCUAUGAGCUUUAGAAAAAAGUAUUUGGAUCUUCUAUUUUAACCUUCCUUCUGUUCAUAUGAUGUAAUGUAGGGUGGGAGAAAGUCAUUGAAAUAAAAGAAAAUAGCAAAUAAAAUGUAUUUCAGAUUA